rnacentral:piRNA from 1 species
UAGGUGUCUGGUAUCCCUUUGGAUUUCUU